GAUGAACGCUAGCGGCAGGCCUAAUACAUGCAAGUCGAGCGGAGUAGCAAUACUUAGCGGCGGACGGGUGCGUAACACGUAUGUAAUCUGCCUACUACUGGGGGAUAGCCUGCGGAAACACGGAUUAAUACCCCAUAAUACCUUUUGAAGGCAUCUUUAGAAGGUUAAAGCUCAGGCGGUAGUAGAAGAACAUGCGUCUGAUUAGCUAGUUGGCGGGUAAUGGCCCACCAAGGCAACGAUCAGUAGCUGGUCUGAGAGGAUGAUCAGCCACACGGGCACUGAGACACGGGCCCGACUCCUACGGGAGGCAGCAGUAGGGAAUAUUGGUCAAUGGACGCAAGUCUGAACCAGCCAUGCCGCGUGCAGGAAGAAGGCGCUCAGCGUUGUAAACUGCUUUAGAUGGGGAGCAAAAAGCUCAUGCGUGAGCAUUGAGAGUACCCAUAGAAUAAAGCAACCGGCUAACUACCGUGCCAGCAGCCGCGG
rnacentral:rRNA from 1 species